AGUGAACGCUGGCGGUAGGCCUAACACAUGCAAGUCGAACGGCAGCACAGUAAGAGCUUGCUCUUACGGGUGGCGAGUGGCGGACGGGUGAGGAAUACAUCGGAAUCUACUUUUUCGUGGGGGAUAACGUAGGGAAACUUACGCUAAUACCGCAUACGACCUACGGGUGAAAGCAGGGGAUCUUCGGCCCUUGCGCGAUUGAAUGAGCCGAUGUCGGAUUAGCUAGUUGGCGGGGUAAAGGCCCACCAAGGCGACGAUCCGUAGCUGGUCUGAGAGGAUGAUCAGCCACACUGGAACUUAGACACGGUCCAGACGCCUACGGGAGGCAGCAGUGGGGAAUAUUGGACAAAGGGCGCAAGCCUGAUCCAGCCAUACCGCGUGGGUGAAGAAGGCCUUCGGGUUGUAAAGCCCUUUUGUUGGGAAAGAAAAGCAGCAGGUUAAUACCCCGCUGUUCUGACGGUACCCAAAGAAUAAGCACCGGCUAACUUCGUG
rnacentral:rRNA from 1 species